rnacentral:tRNA from 1 species
GCCUGGGUGGCUCAGUCAGCUGAGCGCCCGACUUCGGCUCAGGUCAUCAUCUCACAGUUUGUGGGUUCGAGACCCGCAUCGGGCU